rnacentral:rRNA from 1 species
AGAGUUUGAUCAUGGCUCAGAUUGAACGCUGGCGGCAUGCCUUACACAUGCAAGUCGAACGGCAGCACGGGAGUAAUCCUGGUGGCGAGUGGCGAACGGGUGAGUAAUAUAUCGGAACGUGCCCAGUCGUGGGGGAUAACGCAGCGAAAGCUGUGCUAAUACCGCAUACGAUCUCUGGAUGAAAGCGGGGGACUCGCAAGAGCCUCGCGCGAUUGGAGCGGCCGAUAUCAGAUUAGCUAGUUGGUGGGGUAAAAGCCCACCAAGGCGACGAUCUGUAGCUGGUCUGAGAGGACGACCAGCCACACUGGAACUGAGACACGGUCCAGACUCCUACGGGAGGCAGCAGUGGGGAAUUUUGGACAAUGGGCGCAAGCCUGAUCCAGCAAUGCCGCGUGCAGGAUGAAGGCCUUCGGGUUGUAAACUGCUUUUGUACGGAACGAAACGGCUCUUUCUAAUAAAGAGGGCUAAUGACGGUACCGUAAGAAUAAGCACCGGCUAACUACGUGCCAGCAGCCGCGGUAAUACGUAGGGUGCGAGCGUUAAUCGGAAUUACUGGGCGUAAAGCGUGCGCAGGCGGUGAUGUAAGACAGAUGUGAAAUCCCCGGGCUUAACCUGGGACCUGCAUUUGUGACUGCAUCGCUAGAGUACGGUAGAGGGGGAUGGAAUUCCGCGUGUAGCAGUGAAAUGCGUAGAUAUGCGGAGGAACACCGAUGGCGAAGGCAAUCCCCUGGACCUGUACUGACGCUCAUGCACGAAAGCGUGGGGAGCAAACAGGAUUAGAUACCCUGGUAGUCCACGCCCUAAACGAUGUCAACUGGUUGUUGGGUCUUUACUGACUCAGUAACGAAGCUAACGCGUGAAGUUGACCGCCUGGGGAGUACGGUCGCAAGGUUGAAACUCAAAGGAAUUGAGGGG